AUUGAACGCUGGCGGCAGGCCUAACACAUGCAAGUCGAACGGUAACAGGAAGAAGCUUGCUUCUUUGCUGACGAGUGGCGGACGGGUGAGUAAUGUCUGGGAAACUGCCUGAUGGAGGGGGAUAACUACUGGAAACGGUAGCUAAUACCGCAUAACGUCGCAAGACCAAAGAGGGGGACCUUCGGGCCUCUUGCCAUCGGAUAUGCCCAGAUGGGAUUAGCUAGUAGGUGGGGUAACGGCUCACCUAGGCGACGAUCCCUAGCUGGUCUGAGAGGAUGACCAGCCACACUGGAACUGAGACACGGUCCAGACUCCUACGGGAGGCAGCAGUGGGGAAUAUUGCACAAUGGGCGCAAGCCUGAUGCAGCCAUGCCGCGUGUAUGAAGAAGGCCUUCGGGUUGUAAAGUACUUUCAGCGGGGAGGAAGGGAGUAAAGUUAAUACCUUUGCUCAUUGACGUUACCCGCAGAAGAAGCACCGGCUAACUCCGUG
rnacentral:rRNA from 1 species